CAGUAGCCGCGGGAAUACAGAGGUCUCAAGCGUUGUUCGGAUUCAUUGGGCGUAAAGGGAGCGUAGGCGGUCGGGUAAGUUGGAUGUGAAAUCCUGGGGCUCAACCUCAGAACUGCAUUCAAUACUGCUUGGCUAGAGUAUUGGAGAGGUGAGUGGAAUUCACGGUGUAGCAGUGAAAUGCGUAGAUAUCGUGAGGAAGACCAGCGGCGAAGGCGGCUCACUGGACAAUUACUGACGCUGAUGCUCGAAGGCUAGGGGAGCAAACGGGAUUAGAUACCCGCGUAGUCCCUGUCUCUUAUAC
rnacentral:rRNA from 1 species